UACGUAGGGGCCUAGCGUUGUCCGGAAUUAUUGGGCGUAAAGAGCUCGUAGGCGGUUCGGCAAGUCGGAUGUGAAAUCUCCACGCUUAACGUGGAGGGGCCAUUCGAAACUGCUGUGACUCGAGUCCGGUAGGGGAGUGUGGAAUUCCCGGUGUAGCGGUGAAAUGCGCAGAUAUCGGGAGGAACACCUGUGGCGAAAGCGGCUCACUGGACCACAACUGACGCUGAUGCACGAAAGCUAGGGGAGCAAACAGG
rnacentral:rRNA from 1 species